ACCUCUUACAGGCAGGGAAGAGGUCUUGGCUAGGCAAAAAAAUAGGGUUUGUAGAAUACACAUGUCAAGGGAGGUAAUUUCUAGAGAGGGAAGAUAGAUAGAGAAGAGCUCUAAAUUCUUGGGAUAUUAUGGUGUUCAAAGUUUGAAAAGUUGAGGAGUAUCCUGCAAAGAAGACUGAGAAGGAGGAGCCUGUGAGAUAUUGCAGCAUUUCUCAUCCAUGGAAAUGACCCUGUGCUGUGGAUAAUGAAGGGGGCAACUGGAAGAAUGAUGAUCUUGAGAAGGCCAGAGGGAGUGGAUUUACUGGGAAAACUGGAACCUCAUCGCCAAUAUGCUACUUUAUAAAGCAGUAUUUGUAAAAUUC